rnacentral:rRNA from 1 species
UACGUAGGGUGCGAGCGUUAAUCGGAAUUACUGGGCGUAAAGCGUGCGCAGGCGGUUCGCUAAGACCGAUGUGAAAUCCCCGGGCUUAACCUGGGAGCUGCAUUGGUGACUGGCGGGCUAGAGUAUGGCAGAGGGGGGUAGAAUUCCACGUGUAGCAGUGAAAUGCGUAGAGAUGUGGAGGAAUACCGAUGGCGAAGGCAGCCCCCUGGGCCAAUACUGACGCUCAUGCACGAAAGCGUGGGGAGCAAACAGG